UAGGGAAUCUUCCGCAAUGGACGCAAGUCUGACGGAGCAACGCCGCGUGAGUGAAGAAGGAUUUCGGUUCGUAAAACUCUGUUGUUAGAGAAGAACAGCGCAUAGAGUAACUGUUAUGCGUGUGACGGUAUCUAACCAGAAAGCCACGGCUAACUACGUGCCAGCAGCCGCGGUAAUACGUAGGUGGCAAGCGUUGUCCGGAUUUAUUGGGCGUAAAGCGAGCGCAGGCGGUCAAUUAAGUCUGAUGUGAAAGCCCCCGGCUCAACCGGGGAGGGUCAUUGGAAACUGGUUGACUUGAGUGCAGAAGAGGAGAGUGGAAUUCCAUGUGUAGCGGUGAAAUGCGCAGAGAUAUGGAGGAACACCAGUGGCGAAGGCGACUCUCUGGUCUGUAACUGACGCUGAGGUUCGAAAGCGUGGGGAGCGAACAGG
rnacentral:rRNA from 1 species